rnacentral:misc_RNA from 1 species
GAUAAAGAACGUAGCGAAAUGCGAUAAGUAAUGUGAAUUGCAGAAUUCAGUGAAUCAUCGAAUCUUUGAACGCACAUUGCGCCCUCUGGUAUUCCGGGGGGCAUGCCUGUUCGAGCGUCAUUACAACCCUCAAGCUCUGCUUGGUAUUGGGCUCUGCCGGUCCUGGCAGGCCUCAAAGUCAGUGGCGGUGCCAUCCGGCUCCAAGCGUAGUAAUUCUUCUCGCUUCGGAGGCCGCGGUGCGUGCUAGCCAGCAACCCCCAAUUUUUUUCAGGUUGACCUCGGAUCAGGUAGGGAUACCCGCUGAACUUAAGCAUAUCAAUAAGCGGAGGA